AUAAGCACGUGUAAAUGCUCGCAGUAUAAGUGAACAAUAUUGGUUAACGAACGGUUGCUAUUUGCUUCAAUAAUUACUGUAUUGUUCAAGACGUGUUCAGUUGUAAAGCCGGCGCGUUGGCUGUUUGUUGCGUGUUUCAGUCAGAUUUUAUGCUCAUGCAUUUGUUUUUUAAAUGAUGCUUUCUUGUUUCUGCGUCCAUAAACGUGGAGAACUGUCAAGCCGUGCGUCAAUAAAUUCUCUCAUAGAAAAUAUAUCCAUACAAAACAAAUAUUGGAAAGAAAAAUAAUUAUGGAUCCCAUAUCGAAAUAAAAACUAUCCUAACUCUCAAGUUAGACUAAACUGCACUCCAUGAAGUAAUCCCCAUUAAAAUCCGUUCAUUCGUUUAGGACUCCACCGCGGACAAACAACGUGACACGUAAUUUAUAAAUAUUAAGAUCAUGUAGUAAUAAUAUUUUUCAAUAAAAUAAAUUCGUAAAUAAA